ensembl:lncRNA
UACCAUUACAGUGUGUGCUGAUAAACCUCUGAGAAGUUGAUCCGCUUUCAUAGCAUUCACCCACCCAUCAAGGGAAUUAAUACUGUCGUCCUCAUUAUGCUUCUGGAACCAAAAUCAAUAAACUUGAUUAUGAGAGGGAGUGAUUAAAAAUGUAUAUAUAUGUUUUUCAAAUUAGCAGUACCCUUACAGUUAAGAAAGAGGCUACAAGCCAUGUAUUUCUGAAACACAUGCAAGCUUUCUGAGUGCUCCAUGAAUGUUUCUGGUAAACACCUAGACAUAACAUUCUGUUCCCAUCAAUGCGUCUACUGAGAGUCUUUUCUCCCAUGAGACAUUAAGAAUCUUGUUUUUAGCACUGAUGGAGAACAUUGCCUCAGCUUUUAAAUGUGAUACAAAGAGUUUUUUCCCACUUUGUACCGAAACAGAUAAACAGGGGAGAAAUGGGGAUGUGGUUUACAAUGGGCUGCAUAAAGAGAGGAUCAAACUGUGCAGACACAAAGCAUCCUGCAAAUCACCUCCCUUUGCACCCCUUUCCUCACUCUCAUCAUCUCUCCUUUCGCCCUCCCUCCCUCCAGUCCCGCUCCUCUUUUUUCUCUUUCUUUCCUGUUCCCCUGUUCGGUUGAAUUGGAACUUUUCCCUUUUCCCACGAUGUGUAUGACAACAGCCACUGUCAUGAGCCAAACCAGCAGGGUUAUAUCAAGGGAGGGAGGGAGAUAGAAAAAAACAGAGAGUGAGGGAUGGAAAGGGUGAGAGGAAGAGAGCGAUAAAGUGAGCAAUAAGGGAUUAUUUGCCAUUUUGCCAGUGUGAUGCGAUGCAGUGGCUUGCAGUCAUUUCAGCGUGAAUCUCAUUUAGGAGAGAGGCAGACCUGGCUGCUAUACUGAGUGGAAAAGAGUGUGUGUGGGAGGAGGUGAACAUACACACAGAUACACAAACGCAUGCAAACAGACUGAAGCACACACACACACACUUUUUUUCGAAGCUGAAGUUUGACAAAUUUCACGUACAGACACAGCCUCACAUCCAGCAAAUACAGUAGUAGUCAUAUCCUAUUUGUCAUUGGCUGAAGAGACUGCUACUGAGACCACAGACUACGACUCUGCCAAACAAACCUUCCGUUUGGCCAUUGUACCACUACUAAUCAGCUGCAUUGGAACAGGCAGAUCCAUAUCUAAUCAUCAUAUCAAGCCUGGAACACGCUACUUGAUGGAUGCAGCAUGCAUACUUCAUUUCAGGGUUGAAUGAAGUUCCAUUCAUGAGCAGUUGGUUAGGACUAAGCUCUCUCCCAACCCCUCUGCGGUUUUUCAAAGCGGAUCCAGAAUCUUCAACAUAUGACAGACUCUCCAAAUCCUUCUACUGGUUACGGGGAGUCCAAAGAACCAAUUAGGGAAUGUUCUCUGUCCAUUCCACACUAUAACAAAAUCUAUGCAAAGGAAUGUACAUCUUUUUAAUGUAACCAGAAAGGAAAAGUUAGCUUACCGUCCAGUAUAGUAAAUCAGAGAUGAGAGUGAAUGAGAAACUAGAUGUCAUAAAACAAGAAAUCAUUUUACAAUUCUGUUCUAUUGCUAUGAAAAUGUAAUUUGCAUGAAACCAACUAGUUUGAAAUCAGGCUUUUUUGCCGUUAGACACUCCAAGAGAACACGGCUGCUCUGUAAUGUGUGUUUGUGUGUACUGUAUGUACAGGUAUGUGUGUGCACCUGUUGACUUGGAAUGAUUUAAGUUAAUACAUCAUUUUUGUACAUACUGUUGGAUCUAGUGAAAUGACAAGAAAUGUAUGCUCACACUACACUUUGUCCAGAAAGGGUGUUGAUUUUUGUUAACGGAAACAAAAAAAAAUAUUUAUUUCAUUUCUAUUCAAUUACUGGUAGGUAACUAUUGAGAAAAUAGUUGUUUCUGGUGUAUACGUUCAUUUUGUAAAUCUGCUUCAGAAAAUAAAAGUGAAAUAUGAUAUAAUGUACAGUAUAUUACAAUAAAAGAAUAUUAGGUUCU